rnacentral:rRNA from 1 species
GAUGAACGCUGGCGGCGUGCUUAACACAUGCAAGUCGAACGGAAAGGCCCUGCUUUUGUGGGGUGCUCGAGUGGCGAACGGGUGAGUAACACGUGAGUAACCUGCCCUUGACUUUGGGAUAACUUCAGGAAACUGGGGCUAAUACCGGAUAGGAGCUCCUGCUGCAUGGUGGGGGUUGGAAAGUUUCGGCGGUUGGGGAUGGGCUCGCGGCUUAUAAGCUUGUUGGUGGGGUAGUGGCUUACCAAGGCUUUGACGGGUAGCCGGCCUGGGAGGGUGACCGGCCCCAUUGGGCCUGAGAUACGGCCCAGACUCGUACGGGAGGCAGCGGUGGGGAAUAUUGCACAAUGGGCGGGAGCCUGAGACAGCAACGCCGCGUGCGUGAUGACGGCCUUCGGGUUGUAAACCGCUUUCGCCUGUGACGAAGCGUGAGUGACGGUAAUGGGUAAAGAAGCACCGGCUAACUACGUG